AGUGAACGCUGGCGGUAGGCCUAACACAUGCAAGUCGAACGGCAGCACAGUAAGAGCUUGCUCUUACGGGUGGCGAGUGGCGGACGGGUGAGGAAUACAUCGGAAUCUACUUUUUCGUGGGGGAUAACGUAGGGAAACUUACGCUAAUACCGCAUACGACCUACGGGUGAAAGCAGGGGAUCUUCGGACCUUGCGCGAUUGAAUGAGCCGAUGUGGGAUUAGCUAGUUGGCGGGGUAAAGGCCCACCAAGGCGACGAUCCGUAGCUGGUCUGAGAGGAUGAUCAGCCACAGUGGAACUGAGACACGGUCCAGACUCCUACGGGAGGCAGCAGUGGGGAAUAUUGGACAAUGGGCGGAAGCCUGAUCCAGCCAUACCGCGUGGGUGAAGAAGGCCUUCGGGUUGUAAAGCCCUUUUGUUGGGAAAGAAAAGCAGCAGGUUAAUACCCAGCUGUUCUGACGGUACCCAAAGAAUAAGCACCGGCUAACUUCGUG
rnacentral:rRNA from 1 species